rnacentral:rRNA from 1 species
GACGAACGCUGGCGGCGUGCUUAACACAUGCAAGUCGAACGGAAAGGCCCUGCUUUCGUGGGGUGCUCGAGCGGCGAACGGGUGAGUAACACGUGAGUAACCUGCCCUUGACUUUGGGAUAACUUCAGGAAACUGGGGCUAAUACCGGAUAGGAGCUCCUGCUGCAUGGUGGGGGUCGGAAAGUUUCGGCGGAUGGGGAUGGAGUCGCGGCUUAUCAGCUGGUUGGUGGGGUAGUGGCUAACCCAGGCAUUGACGGGUAGCCGGCCUGGGAGCGUGGACAGCGACAAUGGGACUGAGAGACGGACCAGUCUCGUACGGGAGGCAGCAGUGGGGAGUAUUACACAAUGGGCGGAAGCCUGAUGCGGCGGCGCCGCGUGCGGAAUGACGGCCUUCGGGUUGUAAACCGCUUUCAGCUGUGACGAAGCGGGAGUGACGGUAAUGAGUAAAGAAGCACCGGCUAACUACGUG